UCUAAUGAUGAACCUUCACUGAUAGGAAUUGCCGUCUGAUCGACAACUGACGCCACUCUAGUGUCUGAAA